CCUACGGGUGGCAGCAGUAGGGAAUCUUCCACAAUGGGCGAAAGCCUGAUGGAGCAACGCCGCGUGGGUGAAGAAGGUCUUCGGAUCGUAAAACCCUGUUGUUAGAGAAGAAAGUGCGUGAGAGUAACUGUUCACGUUUCGACGGUAUCUAACCAGAAAGCCACGGCUAACUACGUGCCAGCAGCCGCGGUAAUACGUAGGUGGCAAGCGUUAUCCGGAUUUAUUGGGCGUAAAGGGAACGCAGGCGGUCUUUUAAGUCUGAUGUGAAAGCCUUCGGCUUAACCGGAGUAGUGCAUUGGAAACUGGGAGACGUGAGUGCAGAAGAGGAGAGUGGAACUCCAUGUGGAGCGGUGAAAUGCGUAGAUAUAUGGAAGAACACCAGUGGCGAAAGCGGCUCUCUGGUCUGUAACUGACGUUGAGGCUCGAAAGCGUGGGGAGCAAACAGGAUUAGAUACCCUUGUAGUC
rnacentral:rRNA from 1 species